GGUACUGCCGCCGGGGCGAGGCGCGGGGGGCGUGGCCUCAGCGCUAGGUUAGUCAGUCUGUAGGGAUUUCGUCUCUUCUUUCUACUCUGAAGGCUUUAGACUGAAACGUUGCUUAUCAAAAAAGACAAAAAAACAACAAAAAAAAAAAACAAACACCCAAAAAACCUGCAUCAAUAAAUGUAAUUUGAUUUUUUUUUCAUA